CCCGCACAAGCGGUGGAGCAUGUGGUUUAAUUCGAAGCAACGCGAAGAACCUUACCAGGUCUUGACAUCCUCUGACAACCCUAGAGAUAGGGCUUUCCCUUCGGGGACAGAGUGACAGGACAUGGUUGUCGUCAGCUCGUGUCGUGAGAUGUUGGGUUAAGUCCCGCAACGAGCGCAACCCUUGAUCUUAGUUGCCAGCAUUCAGUUGGGCACUCUAAGGUGACUGCCGGUGACAAACCGGAGGAAGGUGGGGAUGACGUCAAAUCAUCAUGCCCCUUAUGACCUGGGCUACACACGUGCUACAAUGGACAGAACAAAGGGCUGCAAGACCGCAAGGUUUAG
rnacentral:rRNA from 2 species